ACCCAUCCAUUCAUCGUUUACCCCAAA
rnacentral:piRNA from 1 species